GACGAACGCUGGCGGCGUGCCUCAAACAUGCAAGUCGAGCGGACGGAGACCGAACCGCAAGGGGAGGUUGAAGUUAGCGGCGAACGGGUGAGUAACACGUGGGUAACCUACCCUAAAGUCUGGGACAACGGCCCGAAAGGGCCGCUAAUACCGGAUAAUGUCUUCGGGUCGCAUGGCCUGGGGAAGAAAGCCGAAAGGCGCUUAUGGAUGGGCUCGCGUCCCAUCAGCUAGUUGGUAAGGUAACGGCUUACCAAGGCGACGACGGGUAGCCGGUCUGAGAGGAUGGUCGGCCACACUGGGACUGAGAUACGGCCCAGACUCCUACGGGAGGCAGCAGUUGGGAAUAUUGGGCAAUGGGCGAAAGCCUGACCCAGCGACGCCGCGUGAGGGAAGAAGGCCUUCGGGUCGUAAACCUCUGUCAUCGGGGACGAAGAAAGUGACGGUACCCGAGGAGGAAGCCCCUGCUAACUACGUGCCAGCAGCCGCGGUAAAAGUACACGUCG
rnacentral:rRNA from 1 species